rnacentral:rRNA from 1 species
UACGUAGGGUGCAAGCGUUAAUCGGAAUUACUGGGCGUAAAGCGUGCGCAGGCGGCUAUGCAAGACAGAUGUGAAAUCCCCGGGCUUAACCUGGGAAUUGCAUUUGUGACUGCACGGCUAGAGUGUGUCAGAGGGGGGUAGAAUUCCACGUGUAGCAGUGAAAUGCGUAGAUAUGUGGAGGAAUACCGAUGGCGAAGGCAGCCCCCUGGGAUAACACUGACGCUCAUGCACGAAAGCGUGGGGAGCAAACAGG